GGAGAGGUGGGUGAGUGGCUGAAACCAGCGGUUUGCUAAACCGCCGUACGGGGUCAACCUGUACCGAGAGUUCAAAUCUCUCCCUCUCCGCCA
rnacentral:tRNA from 1 species